rnacentral:rRNA from 1 species
AUAAGGAGGGUGCAAGCGUUAUCCGGAUUUAUUGGGUUUAAAGGGUGCGCAGGCGGACCUGUCAGUCAGUGGUGAAAUCCCGGGGCUCAACCCCGGAACUGCCAUUGAUACUACAGGUCUUGAAUACGGUUGAAGUAGGCGGAAUGUAGCAUGUAGCGGUGAAAUGCAUAGAUAUACUACAGAACACCGAUCGCGAAGGCAGCUUACUAAGCCGAUAUUGACGCUCAGGCACGAAAGCGUGGGUAGCGAACAGGAUUAGAAACCCUAGUAGUCC